rnacentral:rRNA from 1 species
CCUACGGGAGGCAGCAGUGGGGAAUAUUGCACAAUGGGGGAAACCCUGAUGCAGCGACGCCGCGUGAGCGAUGAAGUAUUUCGGUAUGUAAAGCUCUAUCAGCAGGGAAGAAAAUGACGGUACCUGACUAAGAAGCCCCGGCUAACAACGUGCCAGCAGCCGCGGGAAUACGUAGGGGGCAAGCGUUAUACGGAGUUACUGGGUGUAAAGGGAGCGUAGACGGAGAUGCAAGCCAGUUGUGAAAGCCCGGGGCUCAACCCCAGGACUGCAUUUGGAACUGUAUAGCGGGAGUGUCUGAGAGGCAGGCGGAAUUCGUAGUGUAGCGGUGAAAUGCGUAGAUAUUAGGAGGAACACCAGUGGCGAAGGCGGCCUGCUGGACGAUGACUGACGUUGAGGCUCGAAAGCGUGGGGAGCAAACAGGAUUAGAUACCCUUGUAGUC